UAAGCGGUCUAGCUACGGCCCUGGCCUUCGUCAGCAGCAUUAGAGUCAUGCUAAAUCCAAUUUACUACUGACGUAUGUAGUCUGUUAUUGAUAAAGCAAUACUGCAUUGGUUUUAGUGGACUUGCUGUCCACGUACAUUGCAAGUCAGCAGACUAUAAAACAUCUAUCAGACGAAGUUGGAUCCGACAAAAUUGUUUCAUGUGAAGACCUUGGUAUCAACCGUAGACCUUGACCAACCGUAUCGUAGUGAACCGUUGCGUGUUUCUUUGUUUCAAAGCCAUUAGUUUUAUCUGAGUGUCCAGGAAAGAAUGCGAUACGCUACGUGACACUACGGUACGGUUGAAGUGGAAAAGAGCCUUAGCUCUUAAGCCUCCUGACGGAGUCCCAAAAUGUCGAGAGUGUUUUUGUGUAUAUUUUAGGCAAUUAUAACAAAUUUCGUGUUAUUUCAAGUUAUUUGAAGACGCCACCACGCAGCUUCUUGAUUAUAUUGGAACGCAUCCAAGGAUGGAAACACACGUGGAGUGCCUCCCACCCUUCACCGACAUUUGCUUCAAGAUUAUAUAUUCCUACGCAGAGUUAAUUGAUUAAGUGUUUUAAACUAUAAACACGCUUAUUCAAUCCUCAUUAUUACGCUGUGUUCCACCGUGUCUUCACCCUGUCAUUUUUUUGCAAGAAAAUCUGCAGAUUUUGUCUCAGUUUCUUGUCUUCGGAGCACCGUCAACGUAAGCAAGAUACAGAAUGAUGGCUUCAAAUAUGGACAUUGUGUUUGCAGACUUGUAUGAAG